rnacentral:lncRNA from 1 species
CACCAGGCAGGAAAACACGGAAAAUGAGGAGCCGAUUAUGCAGUGAUCUCCCCAGGCAUUGAGGGCAUGUCCUCCUCGACUUGGUGAGGGUGAGUCCUCCCCCACCUGGUGAGGGUGAGUCCUCCUCCACUUGGUGAGGACUAAAGACUGAAGUCGGAGGAAUACAUAGUAAAUAAGCAAGCAGAAUGGGACCCAUUGCAAAAAGCACAUCUGUCCGAGAUCAUCACACAGAAGUGCAUUGUGUGGGCUCAGAGGGACCCAGCAGCAGCUGAAGGGGAUGCUCUGUCCUUGAGAGAAGGACAUGAAUGAAAAGAGAAGCCAACGUGCUGUGAGAAACGUCAAAAGCAAAGCUGGAUGUUACCCGUAACCCACAUCCUAGAGAAGCAUGCUCUCUAGGUGGGGUCACCCGCAUUCUACCGUGAAAGGAGCCUUGUUUCCCCUUCAGACUUCUUAUUCUGCUUUCCACCACCAGCAGUAAAACCCAAUGCCAGAGCUGGGCAGAUGUAUAUGUGGACUUGCUGAUGUCACUUUGCUGUGUUGUCUACUGGGAGGAACAGAGUAAGGCUUCUGUCACAUAGAAUUUUACCAGAAAACUGAAUACAAGACCCCGUGCACGCUCAUGAGGCUCUCUACUACUGAGAUAUAUUGUAAGCAACAAUUUAUCUUCUGAAAGCAGCACAGUACACAAAAAAGCCUUCCAAUUAUAAAACAGAGAAAGAAAAGGAGAAAAGCAAAGUAUGUACACGUGAAAGCUGACAAGUGGCUGUUCAUCUAGAGAAUGAAUGAAAAACAUAUCCAGCAGAGUCCCCCUAUCUAAGAGACACCCUGAAAAUAGUAAUGGAAGACAGAAAUGACAAGCUUCAGGGACAUCCAUCUCCUGUAGUGUCACCACAAACUCAUCACGGAGAUGGCUGCAAGAAUCUUGGAUGCCAGAAAAAAAAAAUGUUGGAGGAAGAAUUAGACUGUUGGUUCUAAUGAAAUCUAUCUGAGGAAACCCGAGGCAUCUCAAGUAUCCAGAAGGGAUUGCUCGGAGUCACCAGUGUCUCAGCAGAACUGUGACUCACUGCAGCUUAAGGAAGGAAUGACCAUAACCUGGACAUAUUUGAACAAUUUUCAAAACUAUAUAUAUGUGUGUGUGUGUGUGUGUGUGUGUGUGUGUGUGUGUGUGUGUGUGUGUGUUCAACCUUAUUCUAGUUGUAAUUGCUAUGGGAAUUUACUUUAGUAUUUUAGGUUGAUAGCUAUAAGAUUCUGGGAGAGAAUCAAUUAUGAUAAAACAGACUUAUUUGCUUUAAGGAAUUAAUUGGUUUUCUUGGUUAGAAUUUGUUGUCUUUUGUCCUUACUUAUCCACAGGAGGAAUAAGCUUUCCUACUGUGGGAAAGACUGAGUUUCUAUCCAAGAUGGGCCUUUUAAGUCUUUGGUAAUAGUUAACAAAUGGCAAGGAAGAUCCCUUGAAGAUGCUGCUCAUGACUUCUUGACUCUAGGCAUCUUCCACAAUCUCUUGUGAGAUACUAAUUCAUUUGGAUUAUAACCAUAAAAAACAGGCAUGUGUUUUUAAAUCAUACAAUACUUAAAUUAUAUAAUGCCAUACCUCAUAGGAGAAAUAAAAUAAUUUAAUCUUAAAAGACUAUUUGGUAUUAAUGUACUACAUUUCUUCAACUGGAAUAUCAUGUUCCCUACAAUCCCAGAUAUUAAAGGCUUGGUCCUUGAUAUGGCAUCAUUGAUACAUAGAAGACCUUGUAAAAAGUGGAACUAGUGGAAAGUGUAUGAUUCACUGGGGGAGUACCUUUAACAGGAAUAGUGGGCUAUUUCUCCUUCUGUUACAGGUUGUGAACCAAAGGAGUUUUGCUCUGCUUCAUGCAAACACUGCACUGUACUUCCUCACUGUUGACCCAAGAGCAUUGAGGCCAACAAAUCAUGAACCAAGACCUCCAAACCUGAGCCAGAACAAUCCAACUUCCUCUCCUUACACAUUCCUUAUCUCAAAUAUUUGUUGUAACGAUAGAAAGACAACUACUACAUAGCAAGAGUUAACCAUCACUAGUGUAUUCAUUAGACACACAUGCACGUGUACACACAUGCAUCUUCACACAUACACAUAUUCAUGCACACACAAACAUGCAUCUGCAGAAUACACAUACACAUGCAUACACACACAGAUGCAUGCACAUUCACAUGCAUCCGUGCACACACACACACACACACACACACAGAGGUACACACACAUGCACAUGCAUGCACACAGACAGAGACACUUAUGUACAUUACUAGCCACAGGAAAACGCUUCCUUGGGGUUUUAAUCAUUUAAUGACCUUGAAAGUCUGUUUGAAAUAGUUCUUGGCUAUUUAUUGCGGGUGUCUCCAAACGACUACUGUGUCCCCCAUGGUCAUUAAUGUUCUUCCCCAAAGCUGCAUCUGUCAGAAAUGGUGAAAUGUGAUCCAGCAUAAAUAUGAUGAGGUAUUUCCAUUGGUUCCUGUGGUCUACCACAGCUCGCUUAAGCUCCCAAGGGGAGACAGAGGUCCUGUUCAUCACACAUGGAAACUUUCUAGACUGUAAGUGUCAAACCAGGAGCAGAGAUGCCUGCUGGUUUCAAAGGAAAACUAAAUAAACAGCUGAUUCUUUUAUCUUCUUUUCUUUUCUAGCACACAUUCAUUCUACCAUAUCCUCAUUUAAAUUUCACUCUCUCACCUUUGUUUGAACUAAAGCUUGUGCUCACUUUGAGCCAAUAAAAACUACAAGAAGGAAACAUCUGCACGGCUGUGUAACCAAUCCUACAAUUAUCAGCAACAUGACAAUCUUAUUAAAGAUCACACAGGACAUUUGCAGAAUUUGUUUUCAAGACACAAUGAGUAAUGCACUACCACUAGUUUUCAUAUAUAUAUAUGAACGUAAUAAAGUUGAACCUAAUUUAUAUUUAUGUUAACUUAUAUUUUACAUUUUAAAUAUAUAUUAUUCCAUGACAUUUGAUCUAGGAAACAAUAAAAAAUAUAGACAUGUCAUCUAGAUUUAAUUUAAAACGAUUGAUAACUAAUAGAAUUGACCCAGGGUCCCAGCAAAUGCCUUACACAAAUUAUUGCAUUAGAAAAUACUGUUGAGUCCUAAGUGUGAGCUGCUCAGGAAACUCCUAUUACCUUCCUUGUGAAUAGGAAUUUUCAAUGAUAUACAAGGUUUCUGGAAAAGUAAUUCCAGAAACAAAGUUUUCAUGUUUUGAAGAGAAAUUCUAUUUCUAAGAAUACAAUUUAGGUAAAGAAUUAGAUCUUUGCACAAUGAUUCAGCUAUAAAAAGUUCUUAGGAAUUGUGAUUAAAUAAAUUGCCCCAAUGGAUGUUCUUAGUCAGUGUACAGAGACUGAAACACCUUUCACUUGGUGACUUGUAGGCAUUCUCUCGUGGUCUUCUGGGGGCUGGAGAGAUGUCUCAGCAGUUAAGAGCACUAGCUACUCUUUCAGAGGACUGAGGUUCAGUUCUCAGCACUGAGGUGAUGGAAAAGGACUGUCUGUAAUGCCAGUCCAGGGGUUCUGAUAUCCUCUUCUGGCUUUCUUGGGUACUGGGCACACGUGUUAUACAGACCUAUGAGCAUAAAAACACCCAUAAACAUAAAAUAAAAACAAAUCAUUAAAAAAAAAGUUCUGACUAAUGUGAAAGAAGUCAGGCAGAGGCGUGGGUUUUUGUUGAGCCUCUAAGUACAGAGAUUAUAUCUGCUCAUGUUUCCUUAGUCAGACAACCAUAGGCCCCAUAACAGCUGGGAAAUGCACUUCAUCUUUGUUCUUAAACAACAGAAGAGACAGAGUUUGGUGAGCACAUCACAGUUUGUCUAUCAAACUAUGAUCAUUAAUAUAUUUCAAACUAACUUUCAAUAAAUCUGCCCAGCAGAAGACUGAGGAGUUAUGAAGCCAAACAAGCAAACAAACAAAAGGAUAGUUGAAUAAAUAAAAAGAUGUUCUGGGCACACUGAGGGAAAGCUGUCAUUGAAAGCCAUGGUCUGGGCCCACAUAUCUAGUUGCUAAAUGACCAUGACUUAUGAAAACAUAAAAUGCUGUCAUCUCUCAGCUGUCACACUUCCUGGUUUCCCAAACUUCCCUUUGUAUUUUCCCUCUUGUUUGCUUAAUAAGGGAAGCAUGACAUGAAGAAAAAGUUAUGCUAUGGAAUAGGAUAGGUUCCAUUUAUCAGCCAGGUUAAUUUCCUCUUAUUUUAAAAAAAUGUGGGAUUGCCCUACUUUUUAUUUUACUAAAUAGAUCAGUUAAAAUAACUUAUGAAACAGACUCUGAAGCAUAUGUGAUGUAGAGAAUGGGCUCUAACAAGCACAAAUGGUACAGGGACACCAAUUGUUUUUUUAAUGGCAUCGCAUAGCACGAUAGAUUAUUCCAAUGGGCAUUACUUUGCUGGAAGCAGACUCAGCUGGGUUCCAGUUUAUACCAGCGCUUCUCAGCCUACAACACUUCACUGUUUCUUCUGGGUUUCUUGUAAAAUCCUGCAUCUUCUCAGAAACUUCCCAAAGUAUAUAUUAUGAGCAAGGGAUAUUUAUUCCAAAUUUCUAAAUAAAUAUUUAACUUUAACUUUAAUUAUAUUUGACGUUGGACAGUGUUUCCUUUCCUGGUUAAACACCAGGAGCUGCCUUUAAAACUAAGAAAGUACAUUUUGUCGGACACAGUGGCUGCUUCCCAUCCAGGCAUCUUGUCUUCUGCAUCUCAUCACUGACAGAGUCUGCCUCGUUCUGUAUGCCCUGAAAAUGUCAGUCUCUGCUUGUUUGAGUAUCUAUAGUGCAGACACAGGGUCUAGAGGGUGACCAGAGGAGAAACCUAGAGAGCAGGUCUCAGAAAGGUCUUUCUCCUCACUGUGAGUUAGCUGUGGUCUCAGGACCCUAAGCAUCCUUGUAUCCAAGCCAUUAGGGGAUGGUUUUGUGGUUUCUUUUAUUUAGAGAUGGCAUCUAUUUUUCUGCCUCCUGAGUCUAGGCUGAUUUCCUGAUCUAACCAGAGCAAUAGAGUAUAGCAGAAGUGGUAGUGUUCUGUGUUGAAGCCUUGCCACAAGAAACCUUGCGCUGCGAAGAUUACAGAGUGAUGGAGAAGGGAGCUUGCCAGGCCCCGUCCCCACCAAAGCAUCCAUUUAACUGGUGAAAAAAAUUAAUAGGAAAAUGAAAUUAAAAACUAGGUAAAGUUACCAUUUAUUGACCUAAGAACAUAUAUCAAGUGGAAAAUCUACUAAAUCAGUAUAAAUACUAAGACGCUUGUGUCCUACUCUGAUACUUUGGAACACUUUGCGGAAACACUGUUCCUCUAAGGCAGUAACAUCUUCAAGGACCACUAUAACUUAAUUGUAUUGCGGGAUUGAGUAACCCUUAGAACUAUCUAGUUCCUGAUUUCUUGUUGCAUCUUGUUGAAUCAUUGGCUUAAUGAUUCAUGACUGACAUAUUUCACUUUUGCAAACUCUAACAUUUUUAUGGUUCUCUGUAUAAACUGAUCCAUAGCAAACAAAGAAACCAUGUAGUAUAACAAUUUCUCCUGCUGUAUUUUUUUUCUAGAGAGUUGCCUUUACCCACCUGCUGCUUCACCCUAUCAUCGUUUCUCUGUCCAGUCACCCUCUGUUUACAUGUUUUUGCCACUAUUAUGUAUGAUACAUCCUGAUUCAUUAUAAUGAAUAAAUAUGUUAUAAUAUUUAUAUAG